AGCCUUAAUUCCAAACUAGUUGGGAUCGACUACGUGGAUCCUUUUUUGCUAUUCAGCUGUAUCAUGCACCAGGUCCGCAAAGAUAAAGUAUCAUAACUAUGAUAAAAAUUAAAAGUAUCACAAAUGAAUAAAAAACUAUGACAAGGCAUUAGUUAAUCCACAUAUGCAAAUAAAUUUAAGGGAAAUAAGACGCAUGGUUUUAAAUAAUGGCCAUUAUUUAAAACCAUGCGUCUUAUUUCCCUUAAAUUUAUUUGCAUAUGUGGAUUAACUAAUGCCUUGUCAUAGUUUUUUAUUCAUUUGUGAUACUUUUAAUUUUUAUCAUAGUUAUGAUACUUUAUCUUUGCGGACCUGGUGCAUGAUACAGCUGAAUAGCAAAAAAGGAUCCACGUAGUCGAUCCCAACUAGUUUGGAAUUAAGGCU
rnacentral:misc_RNA from 1 species